ACAACACUGAGUUAUUGUUCAAACGUUCAUUGUCCUGUCAUGUGAUCACUCACAUGAUUUGCGAUGACCAAUCAAAAUGCAAUACUGCUAAUUUGUUAACAUGAAGUACGAAACUGACCUAAAAAUAUUAAUUUCUACAGUACAGUAGCAAUUUUCUCUCUAAUUUACAUUUUUAAGUUAUUUAGUUCCGUUUUCCGUUCCGUGUCAUGUUGUGUCAAAAUUUGAUGGGGCUUCAAGCUUAUAGCUGAACGCCUCCAGGAACAUUGUAAAUAAACCAAUAAAUUCGUGAAAAUAGUUUAAAUGUAGUCCAUUCUCUAUGUUUAUAUGUUAGAUUGAAUUAAUGUAAUCCAAUGUCCAAUGUGCAAUGCGGUAAUUUACUGCAUUUUGAAU
rnacentral:lncRNA from 1 species